GACGAACGCUGGCGGCGUGCCUAAUACAUGCAAGUAGGACGCAGUUGCGAAUGGGUGAGUAACGCGUAGGUAACUACCUAUUAGAGGGGGAUAACUCUUGGAAACGAUAGCUAAUACCGCAUACUAGUAGAUGGACCUGCGUUGUAUUAGCUAGUAGGUAGGGUAAUGGCCUCCCUAGGACACGAUACAUAGCGGACCUGAGAGGGGGAUCGGACACACUGGGACGGAGACACGGCCCAGACUCCGACUGGAGGCAGAAGUAGGGAAUAUUCGGGAAUGGGGGGAACCCUGACCGGGCAACGCCGCGUGAGUGAAGAAGGUUUUCGGAGCGUAAAGCUCUGUUGUUAAGGAAGCGGUACUUAACCAGAAAGGGACGGCUAACUACGUGCCAGCAGCCGCGGUAAUUC
rnacentral:rRNA from 1 species